rnacentral:rRNA from 1 species
UGUGUUGGGGCCAGCAACAGACCUGGAUGUUUCACACAAUAUUUUGGGUGGAUACGUGAGUUUGUUCCUGGUAGUGAAAAUGUGCAAAUAGUGGGGCUUUCAGAUAUAUGUUGGUCCUUGUGAAAACUUUGCAAUAGAGCUUGGUUUGAUAAGAAACUUGUGAGAUCUUCAAGUGAAUUUGUGUGUUAUGCUUGCUCCUUUAUGUGAUAUUGGGUAGGUAUGUAGAGCGAUGGAGAUCAGGCUAUAUUGGAACACGAGGUUGCAGCUCUUUAGAGGGAUGCCCUGGCUCAUCAUAAGGUGGUUUAG